rnacentral:rRNA from 1 species
UACGUAGGGUGCAAGCGUUAAUCGGAAUUACUGGGCGUAAAGCGGGCGCAGGCGGUGAUGUAAGACAGUUGUGAAAUCCCCGGGCUCAACCUGGGAACUGCAUCUGUGACUGCAUCGCUGGAGUGCGGCAGAGGGGGAUGGAAUUCCGCGUGUAGCAGUGAAAUGCGUAGAUAUGCGGAGGAACACCGAUGGCGAAGGCAAUCCCCUGGGCCUGCACUGACGCUCAUGCACGAAAGCGUGGGGAGCAAACAGG